UUAGUCCUCUAAAGAUCGCUGAGUGAUAGAAGGAUUUGAAGUUUAAAUCAAUAUUGUUAUUAUCUGCAGCUAUUACUGGAUAGAUGUGGGUUUAGGCUCUUAGAAUCAUAAAUCAUUAUCAUGUUAAUAGAAAGAGAUGCAUUACAAUAAGACACAUAUUAAACCACAUGUGAAAGUUACCUCUUUUGUCUUUUUCUUCAAGCAGCACAGUGGAGCAACGAAAGGAACCAACACCACUACUGCAGCUAUUACAGUGAUCGAGGAGGAAUCUAUCCCAGUCAAACUGACCCAGAAAUCACCAAUCUGUAAAUGUGUGAAAGAGUUUCUCACAUCAUCAUCAUCAUCAUGUGUCUGUUGGACCUCAGGAAUCGUCACCAUCACCUCUCUGUGAGGAGCAGAGAGCACUCGUGCUGCACAUCCCACCUGUGUGCUGUGUUUACAUGAACCUGAGAGCACAGCUGUAGUGGUGACAGUGAAUGUAGCGUUGGUGUUGGACACACUGACAGUGUUGUACUGUGAGAAGUUGAGGUCUUGUUGUGAGACACUGAGUGUUACAGUGGGAGCAGGUCGACCAGUGGCUGAACAGGAAACAACCCACUCUUCAGUAGAGUUUGACUCUCUGACAUCAACAA